GGCCCAAAGCCACCGCCGCUUUCCAAAGCCAACCCGGGCCAAUGGCGAUCCUCGCAGGGGGAAGGCCGCGCGCGGCCCGCGGAGGUCUUUCUCCGCCUGGAAGCGCCGUCCCAGCCCCGGCGGGGAGGGUGCAGGCCUGCUCCACUCCACUUUAGAAGCCGCGCGCAACUCCACCGCGGCCUGGGGCGUCUCCAACCUGCACCGCUUUUGGCGAGUUUCCCAGUACGCGGUGCCAGGCAAACCCUCUGACCCGAGAACGCUGGUGAAAAUGCAUAUUCCUCUGCAGUUACCAAUACUAACUGGUCUCAUUUCUACUCAACGCGCGUCCUGUGAUUAAGGCUGAGGCAGUGGGUGUCUGGGGAGGAAGUCAGAGCUGGCACCCACAGGACAACCACACGUGCGCACGACACCCCGGUGAGGCCGCACAUCCAGACCAGGAUAUGAGACAAUGUUAUAAAGCAGCAACAAUCACAGUCGUGUUACUGGCGCACACCCAGAAAUCUAGGUCAGAGGGAAACAAUAAGGAACUCAAUGGCACCAAAUAAUUCAAUAAAAUCAGUUAGUUAUAAAACCAUACAUCAACAGAUCUAACAAAAUACUGAAUUAGUGGCAAUGGAUACUGAAAAAACUGCCAAACUACACUUCUGUAUCAAACCUGGCCUAUACUUUCCAUAUCCAGCUUUUGACGCUUUUGAAAGAUACGAAGAGCAUUCUGUUACAAGCAAAUAAAGGAGAGCUUCAAUCUUCUUACCAGAAGAACACCCCAAGAAGGAUUCCUUCUAAUCAGCCUAAGACCCAAAAGCUAUUAGCUAAAAAGAAAGGGAAAAGGAAAGAAAUUAAAGACUGUGAACUAACUUGUUUGCUAUGUUGCAUUAGUUUGGGAAGAAAUACAUUUUUAAUGUGCAUGUAAUAUGUGCCAGGCACUCUUAAGCCUCACAGUAACCUAAUGA
rnacentral:lncRNA from 10 species